AUUUUGCAAUUGCAGCGUCUUCCGUUGUUGAGGCACUUCGUCGAUUUUGCAGUUGCAGCGUCUUCCGUUGUUUAGGCACUUCGUCGAUUUUUGCAGUUGCAGCGUCCUCCUUUGUUGAGGCACUUCGUCGAUUUUGCAAUUGCAGCGUCUUCCGUUGUUGAGGCACUUCGUCGAUUUUGCAAUUGCAGCGUCUUCCGUUGUUGAGGCACUUCGUCGAUUCUUGGAAAGGUAGCGUCUUACGUUGUUGAGGCACUUUUCAAUCGCAGAAUUUUUCGAUUUUGAGGUCCUUCGUCAUUCUCGACAGGUCAGAAAUUUCCAUAGAAAAAUCAACAAAUAAAAAAAACCAAAAAUUCAAACACAAAGUUCACUACUAUUUUAUUGAAGUAAAAUUACAGUGAAACAGUGCAAGAAAAAAGAUGACAAAGUAAUAUUGUGACGAAAUAUAAGAUGAAAUAAUGA